rnacentral:snRNA from 1 species
AGGCUCACUUCGGCAGCACUUAUACUAAAACUGGAAUAAUACAGAGAAGAUUACCAUGGCCCCUGCACAAGGAUGACAUGCAGAUUUGUGAAGUGUUCCAUAUAAAA